GCGAGUGAGCGGCAAAAGCUCAAAUUUGAAAUCUGGCACCUUCGGUGUCCGAGUUGUAAUUUGAAGAAGGUAACUUUGGAGUUGGCUCUUGUCUAUGUUCCUUGGAACAGGACGUCACAGAGGGUGAGAAUCCCGUGCGAUGAGAUGCCCAAUUCUAUGUAAAGUGCUUUCGAAGAGUCGAGUUGUUUGGGAAUGCAGCUCUAAGUGGGUGGUAAAUUCCAUCUAAAGCUAAAUAUUGGCGAGAGACCGAUAGCGAACAAGUACAGUGAUGGAAAGAUGAAAAGAACUUUGAAAAGAGAGUGAAAAAGUACGUGAAAUUGUUGAAAGGGAAGGGCUUGAGAUCAGACUUGGUAUUUUGCGAUCCUUUCCUUCUUGGUUGGGUUCCUCGCAGCUUACUGGGCCAGCAUCGGUUUGGAUGGUAGGAUAAUGACUAAGGAAUGUGGCUCUACUUCGGUGGAGUGUUAUAGCCUUGGUUGAUACUGCCUGUCUAGACCGAGGACUGCGUCUUUUGACUAGGAUGUUGGCAUAAUGAUCUUAAGCCACCCGU
rnacentral:rRNA from 1 species